rnacentral:pre_miRNA from 1 species
ACUUUACAGUGGAGACGAUGAUGAUGAUGAUGAUGAUGGUGAUUAUUAUUAUCAUCAUCAUCAUCAUCAUCAUCAUCAUCCUCCAUG